rnacentral:rRNA from 1 species
AUUGAACGCUGGCGGCAGGCCUAACACAUGCAAGUCGAACGGUAACAGGAAGCAGCUUGCUGCUUUGCUGACGAGUGGCGGACGGGUGAGUAAUGUCUGGGAAACUGCCCGAUGGAGGGGGAUAACUACUGGAAACGGUAGCUAAUACCGCAUAACGUCGCAAGACCAAAGAGGGGGACCUUAGGGCCUCUUGCCAUCGGAUAUGCCCAGAUGGGAUUAGCUAGUAGGUGGGGUAACGGCUCACCUAGGCGACGAUCCCUAGCUGGUCUGAGAGGAUGACCAGCCACACUGGAACUGAGACACGGUCCAGACUCCUACGGGAGGUAGCAGUGGGGAAUAUUGCACAAUGGGCGCAAGCCUGAUGCAGCCAUGCCGCGUGUAUGAAGAAGGCCUUCGGGUUGUAAAGUACUUUCAGCGGGGAGGAAGGGAGUAAAGUUAAUACCUUUGCUCAUUGACGUUACCCGCAGAAGAAGCACCGGCUAACUCCGUG